rnacentral:rRNA from 1 species
CCUACGGGCGGCAGCAGUGAGGAAUAUUGGUCAAUGGCCGGAAGGCUGAACCAACCAAGCCGCGUGAAGGACGAAGGUGCCAAGCAUUGUAAACUUCUUUUGUCAAGGGACAAAAUCAGGCUCGAGAGCCUGACCGAGGGUCCUUGAAGAAAAAGCAUCGGCUAACUCCGUGCCAGCAGCCGCGGUAAUACGGAGGAUGCGAGCGUUAUCCGGAUUUAUUGGGUUUAAAGGCAGCGUAGGAGGACUGGUAAGGCAGCGGUAAAAGCCCGGGGCGAAACCCCGGCGAGCCGUUGAAACUGGCUGUCGUGAGAUGUCGAGAGGUAUGCGGAAUGCGCAGUGUAGCGGUGAAAUGCUUAGAUAUUGCGCAGAACUCCGAUUGCGAAGGCAGCAUACCGGCGGCGAUCUGACGCUGAGGCACGAAAGCAUGGGUAUCGAACAGGAUUAGAUACCCCUGUAGUC